rnacentral:rRNA from 1 species
UACGUAGGCAGCAAGCGUUGUUCGGAAUUACUGGGCGUAAAGAGCGUGUAGGCGGCCAAGCAGGUCCGUUGUGAAAACUGGAGGCUUAACCUCCAGACGUCGACGGAAACCGCGUGGCUAGAGUCCGGAAGAGGAGAGUGGAAUUCCUGGUGUAGCGGUGAAAUGCGCAGAUAUCAGGAAGAACACCCGUGGCGAAGGCGGCUCUCGUGGGACGGUACUGACGCUGAGACGCGAAAGCGUGGGGGAGCGAACAGG